rnacentral:tRNA from 1 species
ACCUGGCUUGCUCAACGUGAAGAGCGUGGGACUCUUGAUCUCAGGAUUGUGAGUUCAAGUCCCAUGUUAGUUU